GAAGGUGGAUGUAGCCAUGUGCUGUGACUCAGGAGCUGUGAGUGGAAGUGAAGUGUGUCACCUCAAGACAGAAGAAUUGGGAACCAUUGACACUGGCCACCCUCUCCUCCAUCUCUUAGAGCAGUUGACAAGUUCCACAUGGAGGUUGCUCCUUUAUCCUGUUGGUGGAUGAGGGAAUGUGAAGCACAAGGCCCGGCAGAGCCAUCUUGGACGUGCAGCAUGAGCAGGAUAAGAACCUUCAGUGUUGUAAAUUUCCAUUGUCUCGGGCUGUUUGUUACUUACAGUGAUAUCUAGCCCAUCGUAGCAGGCAUGCACCAUCUAUUUCAUGCUCCGUAAAGCAGACUAGCCUAUCCUCCAAACAUGACUGGUUGUCAGACACAUGUAAGUUUCAGUUUCAGCUCUUCCUCUUAUUGACUGCAACCUCGGGCAUUUGACUUUGAGUCUCUGAGCCUCAGUUUUGUUUUUGUAAAAUGGUUUGCUAUGCUAUCUCAGGUUGAGGAGAGAAUUUAAUGAAGUAAAAAUGCAUGUAAAGCAUUGAGCCCAGGGCCUGGCACACACAAAGAAAAAGCCAGUACUGUGACUGCCUAAGCUUCCUCCUGCAUGGCCACCCUAUGAGACAUGGGGCAGGAGCACUGGGAGCUGUUCAGGGGCACCAGACCCCUUCCAUCUGCCCUCACUCGCCUUCCUUGGGGACUUGCAUGAGACUGUCACUGACUUUACAUGCUGCUGCAGCACCUUGGUCAGCUGGUCCUUGUCACGGGACAGAAACUGUGGGGUCAGGACAAUAAACACCUUCACCACCUGCAGAACGAGGGCAGAGACUUACGGUACUGGGGGAUCCACAGGGAAGACACUGGGACAUCCUAGAAGCUGGGAAAUCAAAAGAAGAGUGAAGAAUGCAACCACACAUGGAUGGAUGGUCUUUUCCAUAACACAGUGCCUGCCUCUCAGGCUCCAAUUCCAAAGAGAAUCAUUUACAAGUUAAUUUCUGUCUCCCGGGUUGAUCACUGUCCCUAACCAUCACUUGCUGCCCCUCAAAGAAAUUGUCUACAUUCCCUAUUUCCUCCUUACCCUAUGAAAAAGGGUAUGUCAGCUUCUGUAGCCCAUUGGGAGGUUGGGAAAUCACUGACUCUCCCCUGCCCCAGACAUUAAUACAUCUGUAUGCCUUUUCAUCUAUUAAAAAUAAGUGAAAACUCAGUAAGACACAUUUUACCCCAAGGUAUUAGCAAACCUUUAAAAAUCUGACAAUUUCAAGCCUUUCCAGUGAAUCAUAGUGUUACUGGUGGUGAAUCCAUAGGGGGCUGCAGCAACCUCAAUUCUCGCCUCCUCAGCAGAAAUAAUUUGACCAAGGGCAUAAUAAGGCAGAAUGAGAGACCGAGGCAAGUUUUAGAGCGGAAGUGAAAGAUUUUUAAAAACCUAGGCCAGGCUCGGUGGCAUAUACCUAUAAUCCUAGCACUUUGGGAGGCUGAGGAGAGCAGAUCACAUGAGGUCAGGAGUUUGAGACCAGUCUGGCCAACAUGGUGAAACCCCGUCUCAACUAAAAAUAAAAAAUAAAAAUAAAAAUAAAUUUUAAAAAAAUAGCUGGGUGUGGUGACGGGUGCCUGUAAUACCAGUUACUCUUGAGACUGAGGCAGGAGAAUCACUUGAACACGGGAGGCAGAGUUUUCAGUGAGCUGAGAUCGUGCCGCUGCACUCCAGCAUGGGUGACAGAGCAAGACUUUCUCUCAAAACAACAACAGCAACAAACUUCAGAGCGGGAACAAGAAGAAGUACACUUGGAAGAGGGCCGGGGGCGACUUGAGAGAUCAGGUGCACUGUUUGACCUUUGACUUGGGGUUUUAUCUGUUUAUCUGUAUCUGUUGACACAGUUCCAGGGUUUUACAUCCCUUCUCCCCUGAUUCUUCCCUCGGGGUGGGCUGUCCACAUGUGCAGUGGUCUGCUAGCAGUUGGGCGGUGAGCAUGCAGUGUGUUUACUGGAGUUGUGCGCAUGCUCACUUGAGGCAUUCUUCCCCUACCAGGUGAAUGUCCCCAGAAGUUAAACUCCACCGUUUUGCCUCUUAGUGUGCAUGCUUGAGCCCACUCUCCCAACUCCUGAGAUCUUACUGGGAAGCUGCUGAUCACCAGUUUCAAGUUUUUUCUAUUAGGAGACUGCCUUUCCCUGGUGCAGGCUGUGACCCAUUAUUAGAGACAGUUUAACAAUCACCUGAUGGUUGGUGACAUUACUGGUGGGAGGGUGGGGGUUGAGCCCUCUCCUGUCCUGCUCAUGCCUAACUAGACAAUAGGAACUCACAUACUUUUGACAUGAGUUUAAAUUAGUGCAACAUCUUUGGAUAACAAAUUGUGAUGAUCUAUAAAGUUGGAAAUGUACACCCUCUACAAUCCAAGAGUUUCAUCCCUGGGUAUGUAAUUGACAGAAAUGCAUGUAUGGCUGGUUAUAGUGGCUCAUGGCUGUAAUCUCAGAACUUUAGGAGUCUGAGGCGGGAGGAUUGCUUGAUCCCAGGAGUUCGAAACCAGCCUGGGCAACAUGGCAAAAUCUCACCUCUACAAAAAGAUACAAAAAUUAGUCAGACAUAGUGGUGUGUGCCUGUAGUCUCAGCUGCUCAAGAGGCUGAGCGGGGAGGAGCAAUUGAACCUAGAAGUCCUAGCCUGCAAGGAGCUGUGACUGUGCCACUGCACCCCUGCCUGGGUGACACAGUAAGAUCCUGUCUCAAAAACAAAAACAAAAACAAGAAAAAGAAGAAGAAAUGCAUGCACAUAGAUGUCCAAGCCAGAAAAACAAACAAACCUGGAGACAAUGGGAAAUAAUUUAAAUGUCCAUCAACAGUAGAAUGUUGUAAAUAAAAUAUACAAUAAUGUGUAGGUAAAUUAUAGAAUAUUUUGAAAGUAAUUACAUGGUUCUAUUUCCUAAAUUUGGUAGAUCCUAUAACACAGGUGUUUGUUUCUCUUUCCAACUCCUCUAUCCCUUCCCUUGACCAGAAGUCAGAGGUGGACAAGCGCUUAAAAAUCAGGAACUCACCCCUCGGCUUCACAAACAAGGGGAUGAGGUAAGGAGACACGUGUCAAGGCUUCCCUUGACACCCUCCUCUUUGUUUGCAUAGGAUGCCCUCCUCUUUUCCUUCUCAGUACCCAUCUGUCAACAUCCUCUUCAUCUUCUAAGGCCCUUCCUCUGGAUCCUUAGAGAUCACCCUGGUCCAUCUAUCUGUUGAGAAAACUGAAGUUCAGAGAGGUUGAAGGAUGAGCUUAAGGCAUGCAGUCACUGAGAGGCAGCCUUGGCUCUCUGGAAUCUGUGCUCUGUUUAUCAGCAACAUCCAGGGCUAAUUUAUGUCUGUAGCCAUAGCACACUUGAAGACAGUUACUUAUAAACAGGAGGUGCUCAGUAAAUGCCACCCCCUCCCUCUGGGUCUUUACUGAGUUUAAACAAGAGCUUUAUAAAACUAUGGCUACUUCGAUGCUGCUAGCAUAGAAAAUGACUGGCAGAUGGCAGCAUUUAGCUUUCCCAGCUCUCAACUUUGCAAUUGCCAGUUUAAGGCGAGAAAAGUUGGUUUUUCUUUUCCAUUCUCCAAACUCUGCUUGUUGUCAGUGCCUGCCAAAUGCCCGCUGCUCCCAUUGGAAGCCUCAUCCUACCACCCACCUUGCUGAAAAAGCAUCUUGAGCAUCUGCAGAAGCUCGGGUUUAAGACCCGGUGGCAGGAGCGGGUACAUGGACACCCAAUGGGAAUAUGAACACUUUUUUUUUUUUUUUUGAGAUGGAGUCUCAAUCUGUCACCUAGGCUGGAGUAGAGUGGCGCAGUCUCAGCUCACUGCAACCUCUGCCUCGUGAGUUCAAGAGAUUCUUCUGCCUCAGCUCCCUGCGUAGCUGAGAUUACAAGCGCCAGCCACCAUGCCUGGCUAAUUUUUUGUAUUUUUAGUAGAGAUGAGGUUUCACCAUGUUGGCCAGGCUGGUCUCGAGCUCCCGACCUCAGGUGAUCCGCCCACCUUGGCCUCCCAGAGUGCUGGGAUUACAGGCGUGAGCGACCGUGCCCGGCCGAACAUGAAAGCUUUUCCUCUCCAUAGAGCCCAGUGAAAUGCUGAUUCCCACCACAGCCCUGGGAUACCAUGGGCUGCAAAUGCGUCUUAGGGCUCUGCUUUUUAGCUGGGGAAACACCUUGCCUGGGGAAACAGGCAAGGUGAUGAGCUCAAAUUCACAACAAGUUCAGAUUUUCUGACUUGCAACCCGUGCACUUUCCUGUGUUAGUUUUCUAAGGUGAAAUCUACCCUGAAGGCAUGUUCCAACUAUAUGUGUGGAAAGGAGGUCAGAAAGUUU
rnacentral:lncRNA from 1 species